UGGGAGUGCCUUCGGGAGCGCAGUGACAGGUGGUGCAUGGCUGUCGUCAGCUCGUGUCGUGAGAUGUUGGGUUAAGUCCCGCAACGAGCGCAACCCACGUCUUUAGUUGCCAGCAUUUANUUGGGCACUCUAGAGAGACUGCCGGUGAUAAACCGGAGGAAGGCGUGGAUGACGUCAAGUCAUCAUGCCCCUUACAUCCUGGGCUACACACGUACUACAAUGCUACGGACAAAGGGCAGCAAACUCGCGAGAGCUAGCAAAUCCCAUAAACCGUGGCUCAGUUCAGAUCGUAGGCUGCAACUCGCCUACGUGAAGGAGGAAUCGCUAGUAAUCGCAGGUCANCAUACUGCGGUGAAUACGUUCCCGGGCCUUGUACACACCGCCCGUCACACCAUGGAAGUUGGCCACGCCCGAAGUCGUUACUCCAACCCUUGUGGAGGAGGAUGCCGAAGGUGGGGCUGAUGACUGGGGUGAAGUCGUAACAAGGUAGCCGUACCGGAAGGUGC
rnacentral:rRNA from 1 species